GCACGAAAGGCGUAACGAUUUGGGCACUGUCUCAACGAGAGACUCGGUGAAAUCAUAGUACCUGUGAAGAUGCAGGUUACCCGCGACAGGACGGAAAGACCCCGUGGAGCUUUACUGUAGCCUGAUAUUGAAAUUCGGCACAGCUUGUACAGGAUAGGUAGGAGCCUUUGAAACGUGAGCGCUAGCUUACGUGGAGGCGUUGGUGGGAUACUACCCUAGCUGUGUUGGCUUUCUAACCCGCACCACUUAUCGUGGUGGGAGACAGUGUCAGGCGGGCAGUUUGACUGGGGCGGUCGCCUCCUAAAAGGUAACGGAGGCGCUCAAAGGUUCCCUCAGAAUGGUUGGAAAUCAUUCAUAGAGUGUAAAGGCAUAAGGGAGCUUGACUGCGAGACCUACAAGUCGAGCAGGGUCGAAAGACGGACUUAGUGAUCCGGUGGUUCCGCAUGGAAGGGCCAUCGCUCAACGGAUAAAAGCUACCCCGGGGAUAACAGGCUUAUCUCCCCCAAGAGUUCACAUCGACGGGGAGGUUUGGCACCUCGAUGUCGGCUCAUCGCAUCCUGGGGCUGUAGUCGGUCCCAAGGGUUGGGCUGUUCGCCCAUUAAAGCGGUACGCGAGCUGGGUUCAGAACGUCGUGAGACAGUUCGGUCCCUAUCCGUCGUGGGCGUAGGAAAUUUGAGAGGAGCUGUCCUUAGUACGAGAGGACCGGGAUGGACAUACCUCUGGUGUACCAGUUGUCGUGCCAACGGCAUAGCUGGGUAGCUAUGUAUGGACGGGAUAAGUGCUGAAAGCAUCUAAGCAUGAAGCCCCCCUCAAGAUGAGAUUUCCCAACUUCGGUUAUAAGAUCCCUCGAAGAUGACGAGGUUAAUAGGUUCGAGGUGGAAGCGUGGUGACACGUGGAGCUGACGAAUACUAAUCGAUCGAAGACUUAAUCAAUUUUUAAA
rnacentral:rRNA from 3 species